rnacentral:misc_RNA from 1 species
UUGAAUAAACUUGGUAGGUUGUUGCUGGCUUUUCGGAGCAUGUGCACACCUGCUGUUUUUAUAUCUCCACCUGUGCACUUAUUGUAGACCUGGAUAAAACUCUCGAGGAAACUCGGUUUGAAGAUUGCUGGCUUCUUACGAGGUCGGCUUUCUUUGUAUCUCUGGUCUAUGUUUUCAUAUACUCUUAUAAAUGUUACAGAAUGUCUUUUUAUGGGCUUUUAUGCCUUUAAAUCUUAUA